UUCUUCUGAUUAUUAGGUCUUUCCACCUUUCCGUGGAAAGACCUAUUGCUUUUCUUCUGAUUAUUAUUAGGUCUUUCCACCUUUCGUGUGGAAAGACCUAUUGAUUUUGUUCUGAUUAUUAAGGUCUUUCCUUUUUCAAAAGGGAAAGACCUUACUGUAUUUCUUCUGUUUAUUAGGUCUUUCCACUUUUCCGUGGAAAGACCUAUUGGUUUUCUUCUGAUUAUUAUUUUUUUUUCUUCCGCCAACUUUUUGUUCCUUCGCUGUUUUUUUGUUUCGCAAGAUGUCGCUUAGACAUAUGGUAUAUGAUAUCGAACAGUUAUUACGCUUUUGUAACUGACACCGCGUAACCAAAAUCUUUUCAGUGUAAGAGUUAUCUCCCCGAACACUGUUUUUCUUGUUAUCGCUUAAUAUUCGCAACCGUAUAAGAAACUGACAAAUUUAUUUUUCCAAAUUGCUCGUUAUAUCCUCAGGAUGAUUUGAUUUAUUUUGACUGAAGCUAUCCGGAUACUCCAUAUGAGAGUUAUUUCCCCUUUUAUAUUUGAUAUAAGUGAUAUGCAUUUUUAACUGGAAAACCAUAAGUGUUAGAGGCCUAGGGUCUUUUGAUUUGAGGUCCUUGGUCCAAAAAAUGAAAAUGAGGUCAAGGUCAAAGGUCAAGGUCAUGAUUAAAUUUUUGAUUUUGGCUUGUUAUCUCUUUUUUUCAGAAAUCUUAUAAGAUAUCGACAAAAUAUUUUCACAUAAUUGUUAGUCGCGACAUGUAGUUACACAUAAAUUUUAGUCGAAAGGGUACGUAAACAUUUGCUGCCAGUUUUUCCCCCUUUUAUAUCUAAUAUCAGUUGUAUGGUAAUAUAACUCAUUAACAAUAUAAAGUAAAGACCUAGAGUCUUUUGAUUUGAGGUCCUUGGUUCAUGACCUUGAAAUUGAGCUCAAGGUCAUAUG
rnacentral:lncRNA from 1 species